GAUGAAGAACGUAGCGAAAUGCGAUAAGUAGUGUGAAUUGCAGAUGUAACGUGAAUCAUCGAAUCUUUGAACGCAAAUUGCACUCUCUGGUAUUCCGGGGAGUAUGCCUGUUUGAGGGUCGCCAAAUCAACAUCGAAAUUCAUUUGCUUUUGUAAAUGUUUAUCGGAUUUGAGCCGUCUUUUUAUAUUCUUUUAAAGUGGCUUAAAAUGUAUUUUUUGGUAUCGAAAAACGUUAUUUUACGAUCAAAAUUGAUUAAAAAACAAACGUUUCGAAUGCCAUCUUUUAAUGUAAUACGUUUGACUGUGGUGUUAACCAUAGUUUUCAUUCGUAUACGAUUUUUUAAUUUUUGACCUCAAAUCAGGUAAGAACACCCGCUGAACUUAAGCAUAUCAAUAAGCGGAGGA
rnacentral:misc_RNA from 1 species